GCUCUGGGCCAUAUUGCUUUCUGUUUCAGGGAAGAAUGACGAAAUCAUACCUCCAGAGGUGGCCAUCUUUUCUCCAUCAAAGCACGAGAUCCAACAGAAGAGCAAGGCCACACUGGUAUGCCUGGCUUCUGGCUUCUUCCCCGACCACCUGAAUCUUAUCUGGAAAGUGAAUGGCGUUAAGAGGACUGAAGGGGUAGGGACAGAUGAGUUUUCCACACGGAACAGGAGUACCUACUCAUUGACAAGCCGACUGAGGAUCUCAGCCCAGGAAUGGUUCAAUCCUUUGAACCGUUUUGAGUGUGUUGCCAGUUUUUUUAAGAAUGGAACACUGGAAUCAAUACACAAACUAAUCUACGGUGAUGCUGGUUGUGCACUCACAGAAGAGUCCUACUUGCGGUAUGGAAAUUCUCUGAAGCUCACUUACCUCAUUCUCUGUGGCAAAGCCUUGCUCUAUGCAGUUCUGGUGAGCAGCCUGAUGUGGACAGCCAAGGAUACUAGACAGAUACGCAUCCUGGUGACUGCCCCUGUCCAGGGGCAGGACCUUGCACUUGUCCUUGUUGAACUUUAUGAUGUUCCCAUGGCCCCACUCCUCAAGCCUGUCAAGAUCCCUCUGGAUGGCAUCCCUUUCCGGAAGCACAUGAACUGCACUCAGCUAGGUGUAGUCCUCAGACUUGAUGAGGGUGCAUUCAGUCACGCUAUCAAUAGCAUUGGUGAAG